rfam:Moorella thermoacetica ATCC 39073, complete genome.
GGUCAAGCUAGUAAGGGCAUACGGUGGAUGCCUAGGCGCUAAGAGGCGAAGAAGGGCGUGGUAAGCUGCGAAAAGCCUCGGGGAGCCGCAAGCAGGCGUUGAUCCGGGGAUACCCGAAUGGGGCAACCCACCUGGAGUAAUAUCCAGGUACCCUGUACUGAACCCAUAGGUACAGGGGGCGAACCGGGGGAACUGAAACAUCUUAGUACCCCGAGGAAGAGAAAGCAAACGCGAUUCCCCUAGUAGCGGCGAGCGAAGAGGGAAGAGCCCAAACCUUAUGCAUGUAGAAGGCUGCAACCGUUGUGCAUAAGGGGUUGCGGGGCUUCCGGGAGCAGUUGCAGAUGCUCGACGAAAGCGAAGGCUGUAGGAGAACAGGACUGGAACGUCCGGCCAUAGGGGGUAAGAGCCCCGUAUCCGAAACGGCCUAAAGCUUUCGGGAAGGACCCCAAGUACCACGGGACACGAGGAAUCCCGUGGGAAUCCGGGAGGACCACCUUCCAAGGCUAAAUACUCCUUAGCGACCGAUAGCGCACUAGUACCGUGAGGGAAAGGUGAAAAGCACCCCGGGAGGGGAGUGAAAUAGAACCUGAAACCGUAUGCCCACAAGCAGUCAGAGGGCGUUAAAGCCUGAUGGCGUACUUUUUGUAGAACGGGCCGGCGAGUUACGUUAACGAGCGAGGUUAAGGGGAAGACCCGGAGCCGGAGCGAAAGCGAGUCUGAAAAGGGCGUUAGUUCGUUGACGUAGACCCGAAACCGGGUGAUCUACCCAUGGGCAGGGUGAAGCGGGAUUAAACUCUCGUGGAGGCCCGAACCGACCGGCGUUGAAAAGUCGGCGGAUGACCUGUGGGUAGGGGUGAAAUGCCAAUCGAACCCGGAGAUAGCUGGUUCUCCCCGAAAUAGCUUUAGGGCUAGCCUCAAGGAAAGACUAACGGAGGUAGAGCACUGAUAAGGCUAGGGGCCUUACCAGGUUACCGAACCUUUUCAAACUCCGAAUGCCGUUAAGUCAACCUUGGGAGUCAGACUGCGGGUGCAAAGAUCCGUAGUCGAGAGGGAAACAGCCCAGACCAACAGCUAAGGUCCCCAAAGACGGGCUAAGUGGAGAAGGAUGUAGAGUUGCUUAAACAACCAGGAUGUUGGCUUAGAAGCAGCCAUCAUUUAAAGAGUGCGUAAUAGCUCACUGGUCGAGUGACUCUGCGCCGAAAAUGUAGCGGGGCUCAAGCCCGUUACCGAAGCUUUGGAUCCCGCGAGGGAUGGUAGGGGAGCGUUCUGCAGGCAGCGAAGGUGUACCGGAAGGAGCGCUGGAGUCUGCAGAAGUGAGAAUGCCGGCAUAAGUAAGCGAGAAGGCAGGUGAGAAUCCUGCCCGCCGAAAACCUAAGGGUUCCUGGGGAAGGCUCGUCCACCCAGGGUAAGUCGGGACCUAAGCCGAGGCGAAGAGCGUAGGCGAUGGGCAAUCGGUUGAAAUUCCGAUACCACCAAAGAGUCGUUAUUAGGAUGGGGUGACGCAGGAGGGUAGGCACAGCGCACGAUUGGAAGAGUGCGUCCAAGCCUGUAGGGCGUGAGGUAGGCAAAUCCGCCUCACAAAGAGCCUGAGAGGUGACGGGGAGCGAAAUUAAGUAGCGAACUGGCUGAGCCCAAACUGCCGAGAAAAGCCUCUAACGAGACUCUAGGUGCCCGUACCGCAAACCGACACAGGUAGGUGGGGAGAGGAUCCCAAGGCGCGCGAGCGAACCUUCGUUAAGGAACUCGGCAAAAUGACCCCGUAACUUCGGGAGAAGGGGUACCCCGCUAGGGUGACAGUAGAGCAUACUGGAGCCCGAGGGGGUCGCAGAGAAGUGGCCCAAGCGACUGUUUACCAAAAACACAGGUGCCUGCUAAAGCGCAAGCUGAAGUAUAGGUGCUGACGCCUGCCCGGUGCUGGAAGGUUAAGGGGAAGGGUUAGUCGAAAGGCGAAGCUCUGAACCGAAGCCCCAGUAAACGGCGGCCGUAACUAUAACGGUCCUAAGGUAGCGAAAUUCCUUGUCGGGUAAGUUCCGACCCGCACGAAAGGCGUAACGAUUUGGGCACUGUCUCAACGAAGGGCUCGGUGAAAUUGUAGUACCCGUGAAGAUGCGGGUUACCUGCGAUAGGACAGAAAGACCCCGUGGAGCUUUACUGUAGCCUGACAUUGGGUUUUGGUGCUUCAUGUACAGGAUAGGUGGGAGGCAGCGAACCACUGCCGCCAGGUAGUGGGGAGCCGACGGUGGGAUACCACUCUUGAAGCACUGAAAUUCUAACCCGAGUCCGUAAACCGGACUGGGGACCGUGUCAGGUGGGCAGUUUGACUGGGGCGGUCGCCUCCUAAAAGGUAACGGAGGCGUCCAAAGGUUCCCUCAGCGCGGUUAGAAAUCGCGCGUAGAGUGCAAAGGCAGAAGGGAGCUUGACUGCGAGACCGACGGGUCGAGCAGGGACGAAAGUCGGGCUUAGUGAUCCGGUGGUCCCGAGUGGAAGGGCCAUCGCUCAACGGAUAAAAGCUACCCCGGGGAUAACAGGCUUAUCCCGCCCAAGAGUCCACAUCGACGGCGGGGUUUGGCACCUCGAUGUCGGCUCAUCGCAUCCUGGGGCUGAAGUAGGUCCCAAGGGUUGGGCUGUUCGCCCAUUAAAGCGGUACGUGAGCUGGGUUCAGAACGUCGUGAGACAGUUCGGUCCCUAUCCAUCGCAGGCGGAGGAAACUUGAGAGGAGCUGUCCCUAGUACGAGAGGACCGGGAUGGACAGACCGCUGGUGUACCAGCUGUCCCGCCAGGGGCACCGCUGGGUAGCCAAGUCUGGAUGGGAUAAGCGCUGAAAGCAUCUAAGCGCGAAGCCCACCUCAAGAUGAGGUUUCCCAUGGCAAAAGCCAGUAAGACCCCUGGAAGACGACCAGGUAGAUAGGCCAGGAGUGUAAGGGGGGUAACCCCUUGAGCGGACUGGUACUAAUCGGUCGAGGGCUUGACCAU